GGCCUAGAGAUAGGCCUUCCGUUCGGGGCGCCGGUGACAGGUGGUGCAUGGUAGUCGUCAGCUCGCGUCGUGAGAUGUUGGGUUAAGUCCCGCAACGAGCGCAACCCUUAUUGUUAGGUGCUAGGCAAGAGCACUGUAUCGAGACUGCCGUUGACAAAACGGAGGAAGGAGGGGACGACGUCAAAUCAUCAUGCACCUUAUGUCCUGGCCCACACACGUGCUACAAUGGCGGUCACCAAAGAGAGGCAAAGCCGCGAGGCAGAGCAAAUCUCAAAAAGCCGUCCCAGUUCGGAUCCGCAGGCUGCAACCCGCCUGCGUGAAGUAGGAAUCGCUAGUAAUCGCGGAUCAGCAUGCCGCGGUGAAUACGUUCCCGGGCCUUGUACACACCGCCCGUCACCCCAUGAGAGUCGGGAACACCCGAAGUCCGUAGCCUAGCCGCAAGGGGAACGCGCACGAAGGUGGGUUCGAUAAUUGGGGUGAAGUCGUAACAAGGUAAC
rnacentral:rRNA from 1 species